AUCUGUGCGCAGCGGCAGUAUCGUAGCCUGUGAGGUUGAUCUGAGGUAUGAUUAUUGCUAGUUGAAAACUUUACCCAAUACCCCGUCUUGAUGACUGUAAACACAGUCAGCAAUGGCAAUUUUUGACAGUCUUAACAAAGA